UGGGGAAUAUUGCACAAUGGGCGCAAGCCUGAUGCAGCGACGCCGCGUGAGGGAUGACGGCCUUCGGGUUGUAAACCUCUUUCAGCAGGGACGAAGCGCAAGUGACGGUACCUGUAGAAGAAGCUCCGGCUAACUACGUGCCAGCAGCCGCGGUAAUACGUAGGGAGCGAGCGUUGUCCGGAAUUACUGGGCGUAAAGGGUGCGUAGGCGGCAAAGCAAGUCAGAUGUGAAAUCCCCGGGCUUAACUCGGGGGGUGCAUUUGAAACUGCAUUGCUUGAGUGCAGGAGAGGAAAGCGGAAUUCCUAGUGUAGCGGUGAAAUGCGUAGAUAUUAGGAAGAACACCAGUGGCGAAGGCGGCUUUCUGGACUGUAACUGACGCUGAGGCACGAAAGCGUGGGGAGCAAACAGG
rnacentral:rRNA from 1 species